UACGUAGGGUGCAAGCGUUAAUCGGAAUUACUGGGCGUAAAGCGUGCGCAGGCGGCUUUGCAAGUCAGAUGUGAAAUCCCCGGGCUUAACCUGGGAACUGCAUUUGUGACUGCAUGGCUGGAGUGCGGCAGAGGGGGAUGGAAUUCCGCGUGUAGCAGUGAAAUGCGUAGAUAUGCGGAGGAACACCGAUGGCGAAGGCAGCCCCCUGGGUCAACACUGACGCUCAUGCACGAAAGCGUGGGGAGCAAACAGG
rnacentral:rRNA from 1 species